AAUCGAUGACCAGCUUGACCGUGCAGGAUUGUCACUACCAUCUUGAAGCAUUGUGCUGAGCUUGGGCCAAAGUAUACCAAUUUCGGCUAUUGUUCAAAAAAAUAUAUUUUUUUUGUGUUUUCGACCUGACACCUAUAUAAAGUUCAAUCUAACGAUUAGCACUUGUGAAAGAAUGGAGUGUUUAUUUAUAUUUUUUGAAAGUAUUUUUUCAUAAAUUUAUAUUUUGAUUAUGUUUUUAUUUCCGCUACCCAACGGUUGACUGGUAGAGAUCGCUCUUUAGCGAUAAGACCGCCUGUUGUCUGCCUCUAUUUAUAAUUAUUUGUUUUGUCUCCACUGUAUCUUUUGCUGAGGUGUGCCAAUAAAGAGUAUCCUAUUUAUCUAUCUAUCUAUCUAUGUAUUGCAGUUUGGAGUGAGCAGCAUCUUCAGCCGUGACGCCGAGCUGUCAGGAGUGUCUUCAGCGGAGGGACUCUUCGUGCAGGAGUUGGUGCAACACGUCGCGGUUCGCGUCGACAACACCGACACGUCUGCGACACAACUCUCAGCAUCCAACGCGGUUCAAGAGUCCCUCAAGAACAUCCCAUUGUCCAGCAUCAAAGAGCCCCGCCGCUUCAGCGUCGACCGACCGUUCAUGUUCUUCAUCAUCGACCGCCUCGACAACUUGGUCGUCAUCGCUGGAAAAGUCAUUGACCCAGAAGCACCAACGCCGUUCGAAAUUUAAACAACUUAUAUUAUUUUAAAAAACAAAAGACUUAAUUUUUUAUGACUAUUUUCAAGUUCGAUUCAGGAGUAAGCCGUUAGUCAAUUGUUUGUUUAUAAAACCUUUUUCUCUAUUUGGAACAUGAUUAUGUUUCGCUGUGAAUUUAAUGUACUGUAAUUGUCUUUAAUUUUAAAUCUACAACAAAGCAAACCAGAAGCAUUUGAUAAUUGAAAGUACACAGCGUAGGUUUAAGUAAUUAGAUUAAGAUUAAGAUUAUUUAUUUUAGUGGCAGUUGUGAUCGUGAUUAAGAUUAUAUUUAUUUUUAUUGAAAUA